rnacentral:rRNA from 1 species
GUGGGGAAUAUUGGACAAUGGGCGAAAGCCUGAUCCAACCAUGCCGCGUGUGUGAAGAAGGUCUUCGGAUUGUAAAGCACUUUAAGUUGGGAGGAAGGGCAGUAAGUUAAUACCUUGCUGUUUUGACGUUACCGACAGAAUAAGCACCGGCUAACUUCGUGCCAGCAGCCGCGGUAAUACGAAGGGUGCAAGCGUUAAUCGGAAUUACUGGGCGUAAAGCGCGCGUAGGUGGUUUUGUAAGUUGGAGGUGAAAUCCCCGGGCUCAACCUGGGAACUGCCUCCAAAACUGCAUGACUAGAGUACGGUAGAGGGUAGUGGAAUUUCCUGUGUAGCGGUGAAAUGCGUAGAUAUAGGAAGGAACACCAGUGGCGAAGGCGACUACCUGGACUGAUACUGACACUGAGGUGCGAAAGCGUGGGGAGCAAACAGGAUUAGAAACCCGGGUAGUCC